AGAUAAAAUAUAAAGUAAAUGAUGUUGUUAUAUUUGGUGAGAUGGUGAGCAUCGAGGUUUGUUGCGAUGUCAUAGAUUUGAUGUACGAGAACGAUGAGAUUUCGCAGAUGAGAAUUCGGUGUUUUUGGAUGAGGGGCUUCACUUAGAUGAAGAUCAAAUCGGCGAUAUUCAAUUAUUCAUCAUCAAAUAGUUGAUAUUAGAAAUGGUUCAGGGAGCAUGCGCCCAGUUCCAAGUACCUCCUUGUUCCCUCAAAGCAUCUGGUCUGCUUCAUCCAAAAUCCAAACCGGUCAUGGGUCUGGCAGUCCAACAUCUGUCAACAGUAAUGGAAGUCCAUCACUUAGCAGUAAUGGAUCUAUUCUAGAGAAUGGUACACAUGCUAAUGGGUUUCUUGAGAACGGGAAGAAAGAAGAAAAUGGCAGGUUGUUUAGGAGAUUGACUGGAGCAGACAUGUACGAGAGCACCCGAUAUGACACAAUCCUACUAAAAGAGGAUCUGAAGAACACUACUUGGCUGCAUAGCGUGGAUGAUAUAUCUAAUCAGUGUUCCAUUUUUGAAAAUGGGUUUGAGCCUCUGCCAUAACCAUUUGGCCUCUCAUGAUUCGUUCCUCGUUUCGGUAUUUUACAUAUAUCCGAUCUAUCAAAUUGAUUGUAUCAAAAGUUAUCUGAUUAUCUCUGCGUGAUCGAAUGUCUCAUUUUUGCUUGUAGAAAAGCUGAAUGUUUAUUGAUUGAUUGUUUUGCAAAGAAAUGUCUAGGUUUCCCAUAUUCUCGAGUCCUGAUGUAAUUGAUAAGUACAUUAUAACUGAAUGCCCUGGAUACUCCAGGCAAUAGUCAUAUAAUUCUGUACAUUUGAUUCAUUUCGCAAUGAUAUAUAUUGAUGAUUAUGUGUUAUCAUUUAA